rnacentral:rRNA from 2 species
CUGGUGUCAGCCGCCGCGGUAAUACCAGCACCCCGAGUGGUCGGGACGAUUAUUGGGCCUAAAGCAUCCGUAGCCGGCCUUACAAGUCCUCCGUUAAAUCCAGCUGCUUAACAGAUGGGCUGCGGAGGAUACUAUAAGACUAGGAGGCAGGAGAGGCAAGCGGUACUCAGUGGGUAGGGGUAAAAUCCGUUGAUCCAUUGAAGACCACCAGUGGCGAAGGCGGCUUGCCAGAAUGCGCUCGACGGUGAGGGAUGAAAGCUGGGGGGGCAAACCGGAUUAGAUACCCGGGUAGUCCCAGCUGUAAACGAUGCAGACUCGGUGAUGGACUAGCUUUAUGCUGGUCCAGUGCCGCAGGGAAGCCGUUAAGUCUGCCGCCUGGGUAGUACGGUACGCAAGACUGAAACUUAAAG